ensembl:lncRNA
AGUUUUUUGCACACCAUUCAGAAGUUGCAAACCAGGUCUUGUCAAUAGACUAUUUACCUGCUCCUCAUUCUGAAAGCACCACUGAGCCAGAACCUGGUCUUAUCAAUAUUACAUCAGCUAUGUUGUCUUCAGCCCUGGCCUCAGUUCUUGUUCCACCUUGGAGUGGCCGCCUUCGAAGACCCAAGCAAGGAGGCAACGAAGUACAGCAUGAACCACAAGAUUGUGGACAGAAUAUGAACCCAUCUAGCUUAUUUCGCCAGGAACGGCAGCAACAACCAUUUCUUCGUUCCCAGAGGCGACCAUCUGAACACAUGUUGGCCCAUAAUAAUGACAUGCAGUUGACUGCAGGAACCAGCAAUAACUCUCCUGACUGGCAAAAAGAGAACAAUUCCCCGAACAUCACAACCACAAUACAGCCAAAGAGACCCGUUACCAAGUCCUCCUCUGUGGGCAUGAUGUACAAUAAUACAGAUUUGCAUCCUUUUCCCACACCUCUGGACACUCGUCGGGUACCAGAGUUGGCCCAUUCAGGGUACAGAAUAUCAAACACUGGAGAUGAACAUGAGUCUUUCAAAUCAUUGAGCUCUAAGCCAACAACAAGCAGCCUACUUCUUUCCUUGAGGAGGUCAAAUUUGAGAAAUUCCAGUGCUGAGCCCACACAAUCAGAGACUCAGAUGACUAGGUCUGUCAGGUCCCUUACGUUGCCUAGCAGAGUUGUUCUGAAAACUCCAUCAUUUGCCCAUCCUGUUACCGCUGAUGACCAAACCCCUGAAUACCCAGACCCUCCUGCAAGAACGGAGGAAAUAUCAGUCAGUCAGUUCCCUUUAUCACCUAGAAUUAGGAGUAGAGUGCCAUUAAGGGCAUCACUGUUUCUAAACAAACCAGAGACAGAAAUUUCAAAGAGACUAGAAGCUUCUAUUGCCAAAGCAGAGGAGGAAACUUUCCCACGCUCCACAACCAAAACCAGCCAACUUGGGGUUCUCAGAGCCCAACAACGUUCUUAUUCAGUUCUUUUGAGGGAAUAUUCCAGUACACAAGACAUAGAUACAGUGGAACAAAACACUGCCAACAACACCAACCUGCAAAACUCCAAUAUGACCAAACAAGAAGUAACUCCAGAUACCACAAUUUCUCCCAAAGAUUCAACUAAUUUUAAUGUUCAACAAUCUGGCUUUAAUGUCCAAAAAUUAAAAUCACAAAGCACACACAAUAUAAUAGCCAGCAGUUCUUUGGGCACAAGCACCUUCACAGACAGGCUUAACUACUCACCCAGGAAAGACUCUUCUGUUGAUGGAAGUCCCACAAAUAUAUAUCUGGACUCUAAGAAAUAUUCUCAGUCAAGUCAAAACACAAUGGAUCUUUCGAGCCCUCUUUCUCCAAGCAGACCUCUCAGA